AACCCUGGCAAAGGGCAAAGAAACAGUUCAUUGGUAGUGGUGUUCUUCUAUCAGCCAGGACAAAGCAGACAGUCCUUUGUUCAUCCAAGCUUUGAUGUCUGGAUCAGAAACUGUUUCAUGCUUAGGGCACAGAA